UUUUGGAAAUGUUGAGUCAACGAAAAUUCUAAUGCCGCUCUGGACACACUCUCAGUUAAAUUGUUCGACUAUAAUAAAGUCCCACCCUGAGGAAAUCUGAAAUAGCAAGGAUUGCAGAGUAUGGAAGAAACUGAAUCCCGGUCCCUCCCACACCCAUUCUGGAAUGCAUCAUAUCACCAACACCCAGCAUGUGCAGAAUGCCUGAUGUAUAAGCACCGUGUAAGGCUCUGGUCCCUUCCACACAGCUUGGAAAAGAGGACACACGUCCAACAUCACAAGUCAGCUAUUGGCUCUAGGAGCAAAUACUACACAUGACACUGACAAUGAGGGCAGAGGAGGAAGAGAAAGGACUUUGAAAUUUCUGCUUAAAUAGGUCCUUUGCAAGCAGAGGCUCCCUGAGGUUGGCAGCUGGGUCAUAAGGACUCUGGAUCCCGAGCAUAUCCUGGAACAUGACAGGAAUAAGGGCUACAAGUUCACACACCUACUCUGAAUGUAAAGCUCCAAGGAGAUUAUCUUUCAACUCCCAUGCUCAACCUCUCCGUGUUCAGAUUCAAGAAUGUAACUCAGCAUCUCUUUAGAAGGUGUUUAAAAGAUUGUCACUGAGAUGCUCUACUAGAAAUUUUUUGUUCAAGUAGAUUUGUGAAAUGUCACUCUCCUGAAAUCUCACAAAGUAUGUAUGCGUGUAUAUAUGUAUACCAAAGGUGUUGAGAAAUCAUGCAAGAAAGAAAUCUAUUGAACUCAUUCUGAUUAGCAUUUCCCAAAAGAGCAUUUAACAGAAUCCUUUUUUACAUAAUUACCAUAAACAUCCACACAGACCUUUCUUUUAACCAUGCUUUUAGGAACAAUGGUUUUGAUAAAUUCAUGUCUAACAAAUUAUAAUAGAUAAUAGGUUAACAAUAUUAAUAACUAGUAACAGAUAUUAUCAUAGGACAGGGCACAAGAAAUUAUCCUUUAAACGAGAUCCCUGAAUCAUUCUUCUGCAGCCAGUACUGAAUUUGCACAUUGCCUGACGUCAAACUUGGAAAAAAUUGUUUAGGCAACUAAGACAUUUUUAUUUUCAGAUCUCAGAAUAAGUCUGCCACAGACACAAAGAUUCCAAGAAGUGGCUCAUAAUGUCAUCCAGCAGAAGGGACACUUGGGGAAAAAGGUGGGGGAGGAGUAUUAUGUUUUGUUGCAAAAUUGAUGUAUGCUGUAACUUAUUUCUCAAAUUUACAUUCAAAAAUGGUAGAAUCUAAUAAUCUAACGCCACAUCACUACCUCUCCUGUCCUUACCCCUGGUCUCCUGAUGACAGUAGAAAGCAAGAGAGAGCCAGAAUGCAACAAGUGAGCUGUUAACUAUAAACUACAAAAAUGAGGACUCCUUUUAUCUUUGAAAACCAACAAAGUGGUUACUCUGCCACCAAGGGAAAAAAAAAAAAAAAGGAAAUUAAUACAAUCAUCAGUAUUUGUCCUGAAAUUUUCCACAGAGGUCUCUGGUGUGAUUAAAAAUGUGGGCAAGGCCAGGCGUGGUGGCUCACUCCUGUAAUCCCAGGAGUUUGGGAGGCCGAAAAGGGUGGAUCAUCUAAGGUCAGACCAGCCUGGUCAACAUGGCAAAACCCUGUCUCUACUACAAAUACAAAAAUUAGCAU